CAUGAUGGGCUUCAGGACAGGACUGUUGCUCCUGACUCUCUGCUGGGCAGGUGCUGAUGCUCAGACUCUGACAGAAUCUGAACCAGCAGUGAAAAGACCUGGAGAAUCCCACAGACUGACCUGUACGACCUCUGGCUUCACACUGAGCAGCUAUGCUAUGAGCUGGGUCAGACAGGCUCCUGGAAAAGGACUGGAGUGGAUCGCUUAUAUAGGAACAUCCAGUACACCUACCUUUUACUCCCAGUCAGUCCAGGGUCGAUUCACCAUCUCCAGAGACAACUCCAACAAUAAAAUCUAUCUGCAGAUGAACAGUCUGAAGACUGAGGAGACAGCAGUUUAUUACUGUGCCAGAAGAGACACAGUGAGACACAGUAACAGGAGAGUCGUACAAAAACCACUUCCUCCAAAACCACCACUGGGAGCACUCAGCUCACUCAUUAUCACCUGCCCUGAAUAA